rnacentral:rRNA from 1 species
AGAGUUUGAUCCUGGCUCAGAACGAACGCUGGCGGCAGGCCUAACACAUGCAAGUCGAGCGAGAAAGCUCCCUUCGGGGAGUGAGUAGAGCGGCGCACGGGUGAGUAACACGUGAGUAACCUGCCCUGAGGUAUGGGAUAACAGCCCGAAAGGGCUGCUAAUACCGUAUAAGACCACUUCGCUGCGGUGAAGUGGUAAAAGGGGGGUCUUUGACCUCUCGCCAUGGGAUGGGCUCGCGGUCCAUUAGGUAGUUGGUGAGGUAACGGCUCACCAAGCCGACGAUGGAUAGCUGGUUUGAGAGAGCGAUCAGCCACACUGGGACUGAGACACGGCCCAGACUCCUACGGGAGGCAGCAGUGGGGAAUCUUGCGCAAUGGGGGAAACCCUGACGCAGCCAUGCCGCGUGAGUGACGAAGGCCUUCGGGUUGUAAAGCUCUGUCCAGGGGGACGAAUCGUGGGUGUAGCUAAUACCUGCAUCCUCUGACGGUACCCCUGAAGAAAGCGCCGGCUAACUCCGUGCCAGCAGCCGCGGCAAUACGGAGGGCGCAAGCGUUGUUCGGAAUUACUGGGCGUAAAGCGCGCGUA